rnacentral:tRNA from 1 species
AAGAUUUUAAGUUAAAGAAACUAGUAACCUUCAAAGUUAAAAUUAUUAUAACUAUGAAUAAGUCUUA